UGUGCCAGCCACAGCCCUCAUGUGACAGCCACAGCCCUCAUGUGACAGCCACAGCCCUCAUGUGACAGCCACAGCCCUCAUGUGACAGCCACAGCCCUCAUGUGCCUUCCAGCCCUCUUCGAGACACAAGCAGCCCCAGGCUCACUCUGCUUCCACAGGCAAUUUAAUUCAUGAAAAAGAUGACCUGACUGUGAUGUUUAGCUGCCUCUGGAUAUCACUGAUUGAGUACUGGAGAAAGAGCAUCUUCACUAGCCUUGCCCUCUACCAGAGAUAAUCAGCCCAGCUCAUUAGAGAAGCUGUCCACGCCAGAGAUUUGCUAUUUAUUUGUCAAGCCAGAGUGUUAUUCCUGGAUAUUACUUCAACAGCAGCCCUUCUAUAUAUCACCACUUCCAUAAAAUGCUUUACAUCACAACAAAGAGUUUCCACAGUGACUGGUCCUAAUACUCUUGAGCUAUAUUUGAUACUCAGCUUGAGGUCAGUCAGAGGUUUUCAUGGGAAGCCAUAUGUCACUUUCUAAAGAAUGGUGUUUCUUCAGAUCUCUUCAGGUGGAAGAUCUCUUCAGCUUUCUUCAGCUUUCUUCAGAUCUCUUCAGCUUUUAUACAUGGAGCCACUAAGGAAAAACUGUAAUCCCAGAUUUUUAAUAAUGGGUACCUACGGAAAGAAUGUCCCCAUAUUAACAGACCUACAUGAGCAGAUCUAGGACCUAUGUUAAUUCCUUGGACACGAGGAAAGUUCACUGUCCUACAGGUGCAGAACAUCACAGCAGCUAACAUGGAUUAACAGAAACACCAAGAAACCCCAAGAAACCCCCCCUGCACUUCUGAUGGGAAGGUUCAUGGCCCACAGUUCUGGAUUACUCUCCUCCUGAAAUACCUCUUUUUUCAUCCAAAGAACGGGAGGGAAAAGUAAGGAUUUGUACUCAUGGCAAUAUUUGAUUAGUUUAACACCUGUUCACUGGAAAUUAGACAGUAGGUGGAUUUUUUUUAUUGAGACUGCUGCAUGGCCAUCUGAACAUAAAGAUUUUUACCACUUCUGACUUGAGUCUGGUAUAAACAGCUGUCCUAGAACAGAAUGACUCCACUUUACAUUAACAUACCUUUGCCUCAUGCCUGGAUUUCCUUUUUGUAAGGUUUUCUACCUGGAGGUGCUUAGAGAGGCAGCAGCAGAGUUAUUUUUAUUUAAGAGAGAUUCAAGAAAUAUAUCAGGAAAUAUAUUGAAAAAAAAAAGGAGAAACAACAAUCUAAAAGAAAAGUCAUUUUCCAAUAGUAAAGCUAAACAAGUGCUCCCUAACUACUAACUGCACAUGCUGCUCUCAUGAAAGAACAGUGAGACCAUUUGCUGCUAUUUCCUAGGUAACAAUCGUACAUACAGAAAUAAAUCCCACUGAAUUCUUGUGAAUUAGCCUUAAAAAAUAGAUUACCCAUGAAUACAAUCCAUACUAUAAGUCAUGCUGUGCAAAAGCUGAAGGAAUUAGUAAGGUAUUCUUAGUUCUUUGAUAAGGUGCAGCAGCAGCCUGUGCUACCUUAGUGACUUAGAGGGAAAGGAAGAGUUUUUCAAAUACACUUGUUGCAGAAAUGGGGAUUUGUUAACCUUAUACCACUUACAUUUUAAAAGUACAGAUAAUUAUAAACAAGGUAAGAAAACCCUACCAAAUGGGUUUAAGUGGGAUAUUUAUAAGGUCUCUUUUUUAUUUUUUUUCUUAGCAGCUAAAUAUGUACUACACAACUUUAAUGAGGCAGCACAAACAGGAACUAUCUCAAAAGACAUUCACCCAGAGAUAACACAAUCCAAUUUCUGUUUGGUUCAGAAUUUAACUCACAGUAGCAAACACUUAUCCUGUUUAAUUAAAAGAAACAUUCAUAUAAGGAACAUGAAGUUCUUGAAUAUGAAUUUAAAUGUAACAGCCUAAGAAAGCAGUUAAGAUUAAGAAUGGACUACAAUUACAAAUUAAAUUAUCUGCAAUCCUUACACAUCAGAAAAUUCAAUAGCUGUACAAAUAUUAUAAUCUUUGAAUACCAGGUAUCAGAUCUCAGCCAAUGCAAUCUGUUCUGGAUCUGUCUGUGUAUAAGGAGCCUAAAAUUAUUCAUACUGGAGUUUGAAAAUCCUUCAAAUCCUUCAGUAACAUUUGUGGUUAUAUGACUCCUUCCAUGACAAAGCAAAAUAUGGUUCUAUUCUGAAAUAGCUCAGUAGGUUUGUUCUGCCAGUGUUUAGCCAGAUUCUGUCACUUUGCUACCAGUUUCUUAGAUUUCACUAAAACUAAGGCAUAAAGCUUAAAUUUUUCUUUCCUUCCAGGCAUAUCAAGGAGGUGUCUGGGAACAACCAGACAAAGUUAUCAGGAAUGAAUCAUAUUUUACCAGCCUGAUUGCCUUCUACCAGUCACCUGUCAGCUGGGAUGACUGCUAGGGUGGGUGAUGGGAGAACUGUGGAUGUUAUUUAUCUUGGAUUUAUUAAGGUCUGUGAUGUAUUUUCAUACAGCAACCCUAGAGCUAAAUUAGAGAGAUAUAGACUAGGAGAACAGAUAGUAAAUAGGCUUGAAAAUUGUCUGGACAGCCAAGCUCAAAAAUUAAUCUCCAGACUUCAAAGUCCAUCUAGUGGCCAGUAAUCAGACAAACUAAUUCUUCAGGAGCCAGAACUGGAACCAAUCAUGUCCAGGAGUUUUCAUUAAUUACCUGGAUUGUAGGACAGAAAGUGCUCUCAGAAAGUUUGCAGAUGACACCAAACUGGGGAAAAUAGUAAAAUACAGUGGGGAGCAAGGCUUUAAUUCAGAAGGACGUCAGUAAGGUAGAGAAUUUCACUAAAUUCAGCAAAAUCAGAAAGAGAUCCUGGGAUGCACCUGGGAUGGGACAGCCCAAUUCACAAGAUACAGGAUAGGAAUGAUUGAUCAGGGAGUAGCUUUACCAAAAAAAUCCUUUGAGUCCUGGUGGACAAAUUCAACAUGACCCAGAAAUGGGCUCUUGAAGCACCCUGGGCUAGUGGAAGUGCAACCAGGAGAUGCAGGAGGGUGGUCCUUCACCUCUGCUCAACACAUGUGAGAGAACAUCUGGAGCUCUGUGCAGUUUUGGGCUCCCCAGUACAUGGAAGACAGGAACAUCCCAGAGCAAGCCCAGUGCAGGCCAGGGUGGUCCAGGGGAUGGAGCACUUGGCAGAGGGGACCAGCUGAGAGAUGAGAGUUUGUUAAGCCCAGAUAGGGGACAGGUCAAGGGACCCACUGCACUCUAAAGUUAAUUAAUGGCAGGAUGUGAAGACAGACAAUUCUCAAAGAUGAGCAGUGGAAAGAUGUAAGACACAGUGGGCAUGUUGGAGUACAUAAAUUAGACACUGGAGCAGAGAUCCAGAACUCCAUCCUUGAAGGUAUUCAAAUUUCAGCAGGGCAGCCUUGUCUGGCUGACUCUUUUAUGAGUAAGAACUGGACCAGUAGGCUUCCAGAAGCCCCUCCAAGCCCCGUGAUGACCAUGUGAUUCUUGCUCUGGAUUCAGCAAACAAAAGGGCUCAAUCAGGUAUAUCUCAGUGUAUCAGCACCUUGGUGUUUCUACCUAAACUGACAACAGAAUUGUUUUCUAAAAUUCUGUUUUGUGUUACCCUGAAAAAUGGGCUCUGUCUGCUGAAAUGAUCAUUGCCCCCCGUUUACUACACCUAUCUGAUCAUGUGUAUCCUCUUCCUGCUGCCUCCUAAGCUAAUUAAUUAAAAAGGUACCAAACCACCACAAGAAUGAGGAAGACAAAUGUGAAAAGAUCCAGAGAUGCUCACAGAACCACACAAAAAGUUUUGGGGAAAUCUUAGAAUUCUACAUAUGCUCCCUGAAUCUUUAGUGUAACCCCAAACUUUCAGGUGUUCUUUCUUCUUCAGGAGGUGGACAUAAUUUUGCAAAGGUAAAGCAACUUCUGAAAAUCCACAGUUCUCUCAAAUUACCCAAAAAGAAGGCAAUUUAGUGCAGGUUAUUGUAAGUGACGUUGUGUGACUACCAUGGCCAGGUGUAGGACUAGAAAAUGAAGGUAGGAAUGAAAGUAAUGCAAAAGCAAAGUGGAAGAAGCACCACAGGACAUUGCACAUACAGCAGGUCCCCAUCAUACACUUCCAUAGAAUUUCCAGAGUCCAGUCUCAUUUUAAGCUUUGUAUUUUGAAUCAGCCAACCAGUCAAGGAUGCUCAUAGUCUGAGUGCAUCUGUUUUAAAACAGAAUCCAUGGGUUUUGACUCUGCCUUUCAAAGGGGUGACUGGCCCAGCCAAAUGAAUGUGUAGCCCCAUCCCUUUCACAGCACCAGGUAAUGUGAAAGGCUCUUUAAGGUAAGCUUGCAGCUGUUAGCUAGCAGUGAUAAAUGCCUUGAGUGCAUUGCUGUGAAUAUAUUAUCCUCACCCUCUGAUUCCCACAAUAAAUUAAAAGCUGGAUCUGUUCAAAUUGUAUGUGUGUGGGGAGAAAGUUCAAAAUCAGCAAGGUGUGACUGUAUUUUAAAGUUAAAUUUGUAGGUAGUUCUCAUUUAAAGUUUUAUGGGCUUGCAAAGAUUGGAUAAUAUGACAGAACAGUUAGGAGAGGAUUGGGAAUCCUAUUUGCAGUUCUCCAGCAGGCUCAGUCCUCGGGCUGAUCUGCUAAUAAAGGCAACCCUUGGACCAUGGAAGAACUACUGAAGCAAAGCAAGGUGUAAUGGCCAGAUGCAGUAUUAAUACCAAUUGUGAAUUACAUAUUAUUUAGGCCAAGCAGUGCUAUAAAAAAGGAUAUUUCCAGUGCUAGCUAAAUGAGGGGAGAGAAGAGGAAACUGCUGACUUUAAACAUGACUUGGUAUGCUUGGUUUCUCUGUCUAUGAACAACAGGAAAAAAUAUACAUUUCUUACUUAAACUUCUUGAUACAAAGAAAGCAGGCCAACAUCUCAAUAAAUAUCAUUGUAAUACAUGAAAGACUGCUUAAUUGUUUCAAAAAAAGAUGAAAUACUACUAGGAAUUCAGUUAGAGCAAGGCAGAGACCAAGAAUGGUGGGAAGUGGAACCAGGACAAUGAGGAGGAAGCUUAGAACUGAACUAUCACUCAAAUACCUGUAGUAUUUGUACUAUGUACUCAAUAUAUGUGGCAUUAAGGUUAAUCAUCAGCUUGGGGGCUUGUAAUGAAUCCCUUGGCACUCAUAGAGGGACCUGUCCAGCCUGUGGUUGGAGACAAAGGAAACAUCCUUAGCCAAGGCAAUUCACCUCAGUGUACUCUGGUAUUUCUCUCCACCAAGGAAACAGAAGGCUCCCCUAAACGAUGGGGUCUGUGUACUUAUUGUAUAGUAAACUUUUAAGACUCUUCCUGUGCACAAAAAGGAAUUUGCACCAGACUUCUAUGAAAAAAUAUUCCCAGCUCUAAGCAAGCAAGAUAGGAGAAAUGCUAUGGGAUAAAGAUUUGAAACAGUGCACAAAGCACCAAAGCUAUAAAAUCCUAGUUAAUAUACAUGAGAAAAUAAUUAGUAUGCAUUGAAGCCUUGGGAAGAAAGCAGAUGCACAAGCAUUUUUACUGUAGAUAAACACAGUGUGGCUGCUGCUGAGUGCAAAAUAGAGAAGAUAACUUUUUUUCUUCUUAUUCCUCGUCAUGCUUGAUGAUCUUGCAGCAGUUUGGGAUGGUAAUUAAGUAACAAACUCAUGGAAAUUAAUGUUUUACCUAGUCCAUUUAAUCUCAUUCCCAGGAUGUGAAUGUAUGGGAUGAAAUCAAGUAUCCCUGUGGUGUCCCUGUGGUCUGAAAGAUACUGUUGCUCUAUGCUGAGAAAAGAUGCAGAUAUAAAGAUUCUCCACAUUUAGGUUAUGAAAAAUUCCUGUGGAGGGUGUGGAGAGGUUCUGUACUAAAAAUCUGUAAUAAACUCUGGGAGUCUUCAAUGCUGUUAUAAAAGGUAAUAAGAGGUAAUAAUUUUAAUGAAAAGUAAGAACAAUAGUAAUUUCCUUUGCUCUCUCUGUUUUCCUUGUUUUUACUCCAUUGUUCAUUAGUGGUCUUUUGAGGGUGGUUGAAGACCAUCCUCACAGACUUCCAGCCUUUUGAAGGAAAAGUGGAUAAAUUACUCUAGCCCCAGAAAAACCUAUGGAGAAAACAAUUUUCUUUGCCUUUUCCAGAAAAUUAAUGUGCAGGCUACACCAGGAAUAGAUUCUCUGAGAAGCUGCUGUUAUCUUGGUAUUUGAGCUUACUAUAGAUAUUGACAACAUAUGGAGUCAAAUAUAAUCUUUACCACUUCUCUUGACUGUUAAAAUUGGAUCCAUAACUAAAAAGGGGUUCAGCCAUAGUAGCUGCCUUCUCAUCUGGCACUUACAGAACAUGCUAAGCAGAAGCAGGAUCUGACUUGUUUCAAGACUUGAAGUGCAAGAGAGUCAUUGUUUGCCGUAGUAGUGGGAAAUUUUAAAAACAGAGAUCAAAAGAUGCAGCCUGUGGUACACUGAAAUAAUUAAGAAAUAUGGAAAAGCAAAAAAAGGAAUUCAAAGUUUGGUCUAUUCUCUGUCAUUGUUGAAGAUAAAUCAAAGAGAAAGGAAAUUUAGGGUCAGACUGUAGCUUACACCGAGAAUUAAGGUGAUUGAUUUUAUAUCAUUUGCAAGUGCUCAUGUUUGAAACCCAAAUUAAGUCUUGAGGUCAGGAGCUUCCAUCGACUCUCCUCUUGUCUGAUGAGGCUGCCCAACAUCCAACACACCCAGAGCUCAGUUCUCCCCAUUCAUGGCUGCUGGCAGGCACUGGAAGAAAGGUACAAACCAGCAGAGACAAAGGGCUUUUGUGUGGAAAAAAGAAAGAGAUAAAAUGUGAUUCUUGGAGAGAUUGUAUAAAUCUGACCAUAUCUCUAAUUUCUUAGCAGCACUGGGAGGGGGAGCAGCAUCAGAGUUUGAAUAGAAGAUAUUGCCCAGUCUCCUGUGAAAAGCUUUGCCUGUGCCACCCACAGUCCUGCUGAAAACCAGCUCUGAAAUGCAAUCACUCGUCUUGCCAAAAGCAUUCUCUUCCCCACAGUAGUCCAAACCUUCCUUCUCUCUCCCCUUGUCAUUAAGCAAACAUUACAAACCCAUUCAGCACUUUCUAUUGUUGCCAGAAGAGCAUUUCUGCUACAGACUUAGGCAGCAGAAGAGGUACAAGUAGCCACAUGUUCAUCAGACACCUUAGUUUACACUCCUUCCAAAGCCAGCACGUAUCUGAGAGCUCAUCCAUUUUUAAAACAAAUUACACAUCACUUAUGACUUCUACCAAAACUGAAGCAAAGCUCAGCAGGACUGAUCAAUUCUCAGCAAGGACUAAAUAGCAUGGUGAGAGAUUUCUAAUGCCUGUUUAAAGGGCUUUUUAAAAAUAUACAUAUGGAUACCUUUAGCUAGAACAUUUCAUCAUGAGUAUCUAAAGACAAACUGCAGUUGUCAAAAUCAGAGGACAAAGGACUUUUUUUGUGAUUUUUAUUGUUUUGUGAUAAAUUUGUCACUUGCACACAGAGUAUCAUAUCUAUCUUAUUUUACUGAUAUUUCAGGGCACGUUGUACCAUACAGGAGCUGAAUUCCGCAUUCUUUGUGCCCCUUCAAAUAUCAAGACAAAUUUUUCCUGCUGCUCUGGCAAACAAAGAAUUUUCCAGUAUCUUGAAAUAAAAAUGGAAAAAAAACUAAACAGGUGAAAGAGGAAAAGAGCUAUCUCAUGGUCUUUGUGUAUGUAUUACAAAGAAGAAACCACAAUUUUAAUUCAAGUUGCUGUUAGAUGCAACUGGAAUUGAAGUUCAGUAACUCUUCCAAAUAUUACCUAAUGUGCAUUUGCUCUGGGGAAAACAUCUACCUCAAAAUAUCAGUGGAACAAAAAAGUAAUAGCACACAUACAUUUAAAAUCAAUGUCUCUGCAGACAGCAUCCACUCCCCAUUGUCUGCACUUUGGCUUGGGAAGUCUCUAUUUUCCUCAGCCCUCCCCUGUAGAGGGUAGGAAAUUGUUACAGUUGAUCUGGGACAGAGAGAGAAUAUUCUUCACUGUGUUCCAGUUUUGUGUAACCAGUUUAUGUGGACUGGGAAACUCACACUUCACGGAUGUAAGCUGCUCUAAAUCCCCCAAAACCAAAAGAAAUCUUUUCAUUGACUUCAGUGGUUUUGUAUCCAGUUCAUACUCUACAGUGCAAUCUGUAUUUCCCACUCAGAUCAAUAAAACACAAAGCAAAAUAUUCACUAUGUCGUGUAAUCCAUCCUGUUCCAGCUCUGUAACAGACAAAUGAGAUGUCCUUUAUUGAAGCUCACAAUGAAUAAAUGAGACUUUCUGCAAGUUUUAUAUGUUCAUCAAUGUUCAUUACUUCUCAAUUGAUUUUCUAAGGUCUGAGAUAUUCUUCUACCUGCAUUUAAUAUAUGACCUUAGUUUAGUUUUUUUGACUGCAGUUGAAAGUCUCCUGGCUCUGAUUCCAGGCUGAAAGUUCCCUAUUUUUUUUGUGACUUCAAGAUGAAAUAGUACUAACUGCAUCCUUCACUAAAGAAGAGUGGAUACCUUGUAACUCAUCAAAAUUUUAUAGGCAAAUGAAUGAGCUUACUGAACAGAAUAUCUCUACCAGUAAAAAAUUUCAAUUUAGUAAACAGAAUAUUCACAGAAAGCAAAAACUGAAUCCACCCAUAGGGUUGAAAUUGAGAAAUCCUUUUUUAUUAAUCUUGUGGUUGAAUCAGGGAACAAAAAUGGUGGCACUAUGAGUGACACAAAUAAUUUAAUUGUCUUAAAAUUUCAAAGCCAAACAUUCAGGAUGGCUGACUUGCAUUUUUCAGAUCAAAAGUUGCAAGAAUUAUUAAUUAACUAUUUUGAAAUAUAAGUUAAUUUCCACUUUUUUAAUCCACCAUACAGUUUGUUGAGGUCACUGAUGUAAAUGCAUAUCAGUAAGAAAAAUGGCAGGUUUCCAUACAAAGUGAACCUUAGGGAAGUAUUUAGUGGCCUGCUGGGUCAGACUGUAUCAGAAUAUCUGAGUCUUGUUCAGACUCCAUGAUUUAACAUUUUUUAACAUUUUCCUGAGCUGCUGUUCCAUCUGCCCUGGGAAACAGGUCUUACCUGGGACUUGGAGCAGCAGCAGUGAAGGAAUAUCUGUUGUCUCAAUUCCCAGCAGAGAGGCUGAGAGUGUGACAAGGUGCUGCAGGGACAGGGGACCCUUCCCAGCAGUGCAGCUGCUGCCCACCCCUCCUAAUCUGCUGCUGAAAUGGCCAGAGCUGAGAACACUCACUUCCCAAACCUUCACUGUCCAGUGGAUCACUGAAAUUAUUUGAAUUUACCAUGUAGCCUCGGAAAAAAUAUUGAAUCAGAACAACAGAGGUUGUGGACAUGGUAUGGUAGACAGGAACAAGAAGUCAAAGGAAAAUACAGCAUUACAUUGAAAACAAAAUCUUCCUCAAGAAAUCAGGAAAGACCAGAGGCCCAUUUUCAAUAUUCUCUCUUUUAGCUUGAAAGGAAAUGUCAAGUAAAUGUCAAUAAAGGUGGCUAAAGCACUUUUUGGAGCAGCCAUUCCUCACACAAGUCACCUUUUUCUCUGCAACCAGCACUGCCCUACUUAGAGAACAAAUCUCACUGCCAUCUUCAUUAUGAAUUUGACUGGAAACUCCACAGCACAGAGGGACUGGAAAUUUUCAGGGGCUGUCCUUUGGUCUUGGUUAGAUUCUAGCACAACAGAGCCUUAGUUUCAGAUGGAAUGCUUAGCUAUGAUGAAUAUACCAGUAGCUAAAAAAAUAUUAAUUUCAGUAAUAAUAGUACCCUUAUUCUGAUUGACCUCAAUCCAAGAAUACAAGUCCCAAAGAUACCAGAGGAAAAUUAAAACUCUCUUUUUCUAAACAGUGCUGUUUUUUGUCCUGAAAAUAGAAUCUCACAGAUACUAUAAAUACAUUCAGCAUAAUGGUUAACAGUUUCUAGCACUGCUCUGUGAAUCAUUUUAGCUAUGCUGCUGACUCCUAAAAGUAAAACCAAUUUAAUUUUAAUUUUAAUUUUAAUGUUAAUUAAUUUUGCUUGGAAAGAUUUUUCAACAUAGGGUUUGGGGUUGGUGGUUUUAUUUGUUCUG